rnacentral:tRNA from 1 species
AGUUAAAAGCGCAAGAAUUAAGCCUAAUGUCUUGAAAACAUUAAGAAAGAAGUUCAAAUCUUCUAUUAACUU